AAAAAAAAACCGAGCCUCUUAUAUUUACACACACGAAUUCUCUUAGCUUGUACAUUUAAUUGUAAAGGGUAAAUAAAGCCUGUUAGGGAUAAUCGUAUAAUUGUAUCCCGCAAAAUAUUGCCCGAUACAAUACAUAGCCUGUUACGAGUUUUAAGGUUUCAAUACUUAGCCGCCAGACAUUCACUUUCUCUCUCAUUUCAGUUCUCUCUCUAUCUUGCUUUCUCUCUCCUCACUCAAGUCUCCUCCCUCAAGUCUCCUCCCUCCGGUUUACUAAGGAAUUCUAGGUGGUUUUGUUUAGAUUUACUCGAUUAUGUUAAUGAUUCGUAACAACGACGAGAAAAAUUUCUUUUAUUCUUCUCUGAGGUACCUCCGGUACUACAACAAUGGCGUCGCUGAGUUUUUCAGCUUCUACUAUUACUCCCAUGGCUUUGUUUCUACCUACUCCUUCAUCUUCAAACGUAUCAACUUCUUCGUCAUCGUUCUGCAAGCAGUCGUCGUCUUUGAUGAGUUUUGUGCUCCUGAUGAAGAGAAGAUGACUCCUCGUUCUCCUCUUGAUUUUCCAAUCAGUAGUUGGUAUUCAUGCUAUAGAAGCCCCAGUUCUUCACCUCGUGUCUAAAGGGCUCAGCAACUUUGUUGUGGCAUGGACCUUCAUGUUUGCUCCUUCUACUAUACACUGAUUUUAAGAAUGAUUCCUUGCUCAAAUGUUCACCAGUCAAUGUAAAUGACCGUUUGCUAGAACAUGUUGAAACAAACAGGAGGAAAGCACAAGCUACUCAUAGUUAAAGAGUGCUUGAUCUCCAUGGGUUAGAUCAUAAGGUUACUAUGGCUAACCUAAUUAUCUGCAGCAGCAUGGAUUAAUAGCAUAGCAGGUUCAGACAUUCAAUUUUGGUUCUACAGCCUAAGCAAAUGCAGUAACCCAUACAGGUAUGCUAGAGGGAAAAGCUCAUAUCUAUCUGCAUGACGAGAUGCAUAUAAUUCUAUCACUCUAUGUUGUGUUAAUUGUAUGCUAUCUAUUGCUAGGGUAUUGGAUAAAUUAGCUGAAUACUGCUUACCACACUUCAGAAAUAACUAGUACGGAGUACUUUGUAAGGUACUUGCUAAGAAUUUAAAAUAUUAAGCAAAAAUUCAAUCCUUGUAAAGCUAUACUUUCUUAGUCAAAACAAUUUUCUGAAUAGUGACUACUACAUGUCUAAAAGAUACUUUUAUUACAAAA